rnacentral:misc_RNA from 1 species
GAUGAAGAGCGUAGCGAAAUGCGAUACGUAAUGUGAAUUGCAGAAUUCAGUGAAUCAUCGAGUCUUUGAACGCACAUUGCGCCCCCUGGUAUUCCGGGGGGCAUGCCUGUCCGAGCGUCAUUGCUGCCCUCAAGCACGGCUUGUGUGUUGGGCCUCCGUCCUCCUCCCGGGGGACGGGCCCGAAAGGCAGCGGCGGCACCGCGUCCGGUCCUCGAGCGUAUGGGGCUUCGUCACCCGCUCUUGUAGGCCCGGCCGGCGCUUGCCGACACAUCAAUCUUUUUUCCAGGUUGACCUCGGAUCAGGUAGGGAUACCCGCUGAACUUAAGCAUAUCAGUAAGCGAAGGA